rnacentral:rRNA from 1 species
GUGCCAGCCGCCGCGGUAACACCGGCAGCCCAAGUGAUGGCCGAUAUUAUUGGGCCUAAAGCGUCCGUAGCUGGCCGCACAAGUCCGUCGGGAAAUCCACUCGCUUAACGAGUGGGCGUCCGGCGGAAACUGUGCGGCUUGGGACCGGAAGAUCCAAGGGGUACGUCCGGGGUAGGAGUGAAAUCCCGUAAUCCUGGACGGACCACCGAUGGCGAAAGCACCUUGGAAGGACGGAUCCGACAGUGAGGGACGAAAGCUAGGGUCUCGAACCGGAUUAGAAACCCGAGUAGUCC